rnacentral:lncRNA from 1 species
AUCAGUCGAUUCCCUCAUCCCCUUUGCUGCUUCUCCUUUUCACUUUCACCUUCACACGUCUGCUUCUCCUUCAUUUGUGCUUCGAAGACGUCUCCUCCUCUAUUUAAUUUCUGCAGCUUCUUCCUCUUGAAGACCGCCCACCUCCACUAGUCGUUGUCCCCUUUGGUCAACUUCAGCACUUAACAGCACUUUGUUGUUGACCCUGGCAGCUUCUUCAAGCGCCAGCUGCUCCAUUCCAUCGAGAAUUCCUUCAAUUCUUCGCACGUGCAGCUGCCACGUUCGCUCUCUCCAUUGUGCAGCUGCGUCCCCGCCGAAGCCACACGUCCCCGAGUCAACUCCUCGCACCUUCGGCUCCCACGGUCGAAGACACCAACGAAGCAGCCGUUUCCUCCUUUGCGCUUCUCCAUUCGGUGCUGCCCUCCAUCUUCGACCGACCAGCUUCUGUCUUCCACGCCACAUGUUCACGGCCUACCUCCCCUCAGUCAACAAAACCAGCAAGUUUUCCCCUUCGUUGACCGUAAGCCAACGAAGCAGCACCCACCGAGCUCUCCCAUCUUCAUCGUCCACCGCAUCCAGUUGCUCUUUGCUUCUUCGCGUGGGUUGCUGCCUCAAUGAAGACCAACUGCUUCGGUCUUCCUUCGCUCACGCCAGCUGGACCGAGCCCAUCGCCACAGCUGCUUCUUCAUUCAGCCCAAUUGAAGACCGAAGCCCACGUGAAUUUCCAGCAGCCCAAAAGUCCAGCAGUUCAGCCACUUGAAGCCCGGCCCAGUUCAGUGUUCCCAGCAGCCUUCAGCCCAGCGAAUUUGGUCCAACGAAGCCCAACAAGUUUCAGUUUUCAGCAGGCCCAAGCCCAAGUCUAAGCCCAGAAAUUUCUGCGGGCUUGUGAAGCUUUUAGGCCUGGCCCGAGUGUCCGCCGACGUCGCCGAAAAUUUGGAUUUCGGCCACCGUCGCGCCGCCGUCACAGUGAAGCAGUCUUCGCUUUUAACAAGUGAGUUUUGCUCACUAAUCCUUACUUAGUUUGCUAAUGACGCUUAAGGGUUGAUUGGAUUAAAUUAAGCGCAAUUAGGUAGUUAGAUUAGUUUAGAGUAAUUUAAUUAGUGAAUUAAUGAUGCAUGUUAGGUGAUUGAUUAGUGUAAUUAGCAAGUAGAGACAUACUUCUAUUUAUUGAAUGCAUCUCGGGAAUUUUCCUGAUCUGUUCUGACGUCCAAUUAGGCAUUACGAGCCUAAAUUGGAUUUUUAGUAUUUAUUUAUUAAUUUUCGAAAUUAUUUAAUUAUUUAUUUAUUUUCCAGAAAUUAGGCAGGAAUAGCCAACGACCGGAAUUUUAUGCUGAUUGUCGUGGCGCAGUCCAUUUAUUUAAUUAAGCUUUAUUUUGUGCAGAAUUGAAUUAUUAGUGAAUUUGGGAAUUAUUCCUUAAUUAAUUAAUGUUGGUUAUUAAUUGAAAAAUAACCGGGCAUCGAUUGAUAAUGCCAAAAAUAUUUUUAGUGGACUAUAGAAAAUGUGGGAGUUAUGGAAAGGAAAAUAUUAUAUUUUAGCUAAGGCCAACCGUGUGCCCACGCACAAUAUUUUAUCGGGUAUGAUAAAAGAUGAGAAGAAAUGUUGUGUGGCAUGGCUCAACGAUUAUUACAUCACUUUGGCAUAUAGGAUGCCUUAGAGAAUGCACGCAAAUUGUUGAAGAUAUAUCAUGCAUGUGUGGCGAUAAUUAAUCAUGCAUGUGUAGCGAUAAUUAAUCAUGCAUGUGUGGCGUAGAACAUGCCUGUGUGGCAUAGAUUGUGCUUAUAUGGUCGUAUUCUGUGUGUCAAAUAUCGUGCCCGUGUGGCUAAAAGUAAUUGGAAUGCCUGAAAGAGAAUGUACGUAAAUUGUUUAUAUUGGUUAUGUGAUUAAAUAUAUCACCCCGGCGAAAACGAUGCCCGAGAGCAUGCACAUAAAGUGUUUAUUGUACAUCACCUUGGCGAAAAUGGCGCCUUAAAAAAUAUGUGGGAUGGGUGAUUGGUACAUUGUCUUGGCGAAAUCGGCAUGUGUGGCGAUAAUUAAUCAUGCCUGUGUAGCGAUAAUUAAUCAUGCCUGUGUGGCGUAGAUUGUGCUUAUAUGGUCGUAUUCUGUGUGUCGAAUAUCGUGCCCGUGUGGCUGAAAGUAAUUGGAAUGCCUGAAAGAGAAUGUAUGUAAAUUGUUUAUAUUGGCUAUGUGAUUAAAUAUAUCACCCCGGCGAAAACGACGCCCGAAAGCAUGCACAUAAAGUGUUUAUUGUACAUCACCUUGGUGGAAACGGCGCCUUAAAAAAUAUGUGGGAUGGGUGAUUGGUACAUUGUCUUGCCGAAAUCGGCGCCUGAGGGAAAAUACGCAGUUCGGUGACUAGGUAUUAUAUUGGAAAUUAUAUAGUAUGGUUGGGAGUGACCAAAAUAUGAUCCGACUGACAUGUAAUUAUACGUGGCUCAGUGACUAGAUCGAUUGAUCAUUGCUUUGAUAUGAUGUCGUGAAUUGAUUGAUUGAAUGGAAAUGAUCGGUGAAUGGUCCGACUGACAUGUAAUCGACUAAGUCAAUUUGAUCGAUGUUUCGAUCCGUGAUAUUAUGAUGGGUGCCUAUUUGAACUGUGCUAAUUUGCAAGUGGAAUCUGAGGCCAAGGUAAGUCCUCUGACCCGUGUAUGCAUAGGCAGCUAGGAUAACGUAUUGGUUUAUUAUUCAAGUCUUAGGGGAUAGAACUCGCUGAGACGUGGUCUCAAUGGUUAUUGUAUAACCAUUUCAGGACCCUGAUGAGGAGCCUAAGAAGGAGAACCCUAAUGUAAAACCUGAGGAGGAGGAAGAUUUUGAAGAAGAAGAUGAUCCAAAGAAUGAUCUUGAGUACGACCCGGAUGAGAACUGAGAUUCCAUCCUAUUU